rnacentral:lncRNA from 1 species
GACUGGCUGGCCAGUGAGCAGCAGGGCCCUUGACCCUGCCUGCUCAGCACAGCUCAUACACACGACUCUGCCUUCCUCGUCUACUGGAUGUGCUGCCUGGUUUCCUUCAAUAAAGGCUGCAGUUAUGAGCACAAUUCAUUCCAAGCAGCAGAAACUCAGCCGCACAUAUGGAAUUCUGGUCAGACUACGUACCUCCCAGAGCUGGAAAUAUUAUAAGGCUGCUGAACAUGGAUUUUAUAGAGCUUAUUAUAGAGUCUCUCGUAACUGGUAGGCUGGUAGGAAUGCUUUAUGAAACACAAGGUAAAAUCCUGAUGAGUUUGGCAGUUUCAUAAC